GCGGAAGUGGCUCAGUGGUAGAGCAUCGCCUUGCCAAGGCGAGGGUCGCGGGUUCGAAUCCCGUCUUCCGCU
rfam:Pelotomaculum thermopropionicum MPI_scaffold_12019, whole genome shotgun sequence.